UCAUUGUCAUUCUCUCUCACAACAUCUGAUCCUCAUUCCCAUGCUCCUGAGUUCAUUAAGAUUGCUUUUGGUGUUCUAGUUGCACCCAAAGCUAAUCAUUCUCGUAAUUUCAUCGAGACUGGUAUUUCUAUUUCAUGCAGAUGCAACUUCAUAACUGACUCUGGAGAUAGCCUCGAAAUGCAUUCUUUUUGCAGACUGAUCAAAAGACAUCACAUUUCUCUUUGGUAUUCCAACAUUCAUUUACAUUCUAGGAAAUUUCGUAUCAGGGAGGCUUCAUUUCAAUUCUCGAUCAAUUACUCAUUCAACAGAUUACACUUGAGUGAAGCCCAUAAGUGUAAAGUCUACAAGUGUGGAGUCCAUCUUAUAUUUGAUCAUAACUUGGACGAUGAUGAUAAUGGAAAAAGAUGGUCAGAGAUGGUAUUUCAUGAUCGGACCAUGUCGGAGGGAUUGUUCUUUACUCCUAUUGUUGAGUAUGAAUAUGACGAACAAUAUCCCCUUCAAGGAUUG
rnacentral:misc_RNA from 1 species